CAGGCUCAAAGUCGAGCGGGUGAAGUGCAUGCAAGAAAUAGUCUGCGGGGGUUCGGGGAGGCCGCGGGCCACGAACUCUCACUCGACCCGUUGCCUUUGCCCUGCUCUCAUUCGUUUGCUGCAGUCGAAGGAUAACGGGUGGUACAUUUGCGAGCACAGGGACAACCACAGUCAUGAUUUGUCUGCCUCUUUUGGCGAGCGAGCGCAUUGGCUGUCGCACAAACACAUUGAUAGCUACACUAAAGAUCUGGUCAAACAGCUGCAGGAGAAUAACGUGACUCUUGGCAAGGUGUACAGUAUCAUUGGAAGUUUCUUCGGGAAGAUGGAAAAUGUACCUUUCACGAAAAGGGCGUUGAGGACUUUGUGUGGUAAAAUCAGCAGUGAGCAAGCAUAUGAUGAUGUUAGGAAAACAAUAGAAGUUUUCUCGGAGAUGGGGGCAGCUGACCCUGGAUUCAGUUACAGCGUGCAAGUAGACGAUGACAGCAGGAUCAUGAACCUACUCUGGACAACCGGGAAAGGCCGGGCACAGGGCACAGUACCACUAUUUUGGAGAUGCAAUCACAUUCGACACCACGUACAGAACCAAUGUAUAUGAUAUGCCAUUUGGUCUGAUUGUUGGUGUGAAUAGCCAUUUCCAUAGUGUCAUAUUCGCAGGCGUGCUGCUGCGUGAAGAGAAGGUCGAGAACUUUGAAUGGGUCUUCAGGGAGUUUGUUAAGUUGAUGAAUAGUAAAAAACCAGUAACCGUCCUCACAGAUCAGUGCAGAGCGAUGGAGGUAGCUAUUGGGAAUGUACUGUCGGCGAUGAAGCAUCGAUGGUGCAAAUGGCAUGUCUUACGGAAAGCAAAGGAGAGGCUAGGAGCCCUUUAUGGGAAGAACAGCCAGUUCAAGGUUGAUUUCCACCGGAUUGUGAAUCAGAUGCUGACUAAGGAUGAAUUCGAGGCUGCUUGGAUGCAGAUGCUGAGUAUGUAUGCCUUGGAGAAGAAUCCAUAUGUGUACCAAAUAUAUGAGACCAGGGACAAGUGGGCGAAGCCGUUUUUCAGCGGAAUCUUCUGUGCUAGAAUGACCAGCACUCAGCGAAGCGAAAGUGCGAACCACAUGUUGAAGACUUACGUGCCUCCAGGCUCGGCGAUGCACGUGUUUGUUAAACAGUUUAACAAACUGUUGUACGAUAGGGAUGCGGAGGAGAGCUUCCAGGAGAAGCGGAACCAAUAGAGAAGCUUGCCGCGAAGAUAUAUACACGGACUAUGUUCGAGAAGUUCCAAGAGGUAAUUGUGCAUCCAUUUCAGCUUUCACAAAAGGGCCUACGCGGGGCAUCGAUGAAAAUGGCUAGUCCCUAUUUAUUCAAACAUGUUGAACCAGAGCACUAGAGGGUCAGCUGCUCCACCAAAAAGGAGCUGAAAACAAGAUUAGUUAGUUCUUGCAUUGCUGAAUGUAGGCAUACCAAAAAAGUUGUGGUCGAGGCAGCUACAGGCAGGUAAGCAUAUGGCAAGUACUGUUAAAAGGAUUGAUCAAAUUAGGCGUGGCAUAGUAUGGCCAGUGUGGUCGAAAAAUGUGUAACAUUACAUGCCAUCUGGGAAAAGACUUGGGCGACCUGGGUGAUAAACUGAUUUUCUAGUUCUUUGGACAUAGAGUGUUACA